UAUGUCCGUUGCUUCCGCUUCUGUUCCGUUUUUGCAAUUCUGCAUUCCCUCUUUUCAUCGUCAUGCACCGCUAAGUAGAGAUUCUUCUGUUCCCAUGGACAAGAUCAAGUUCCCCAAGAACUUUACCCUCUUCAAGGAGAACAACAAGGAGACUUUGAUAGCUUUUCGGGCUAAUAAGUCUAUCACUAAGAUCACUAGAGAGGUCUUCCAUGGCAUCAUUGCUACCCCUCUAUCGUAUGUCCGACCUCAAUCUCGUACUCCUACACCCUCUAUGGCCUUGGCGCCAGUCUCAGGAGGCUCUCACUUUGCUCCACCCAAAAUGGGCUCUUCUGACCCUAUCAAGGUUAGCAAAUCAGAACGAGAAGGAAGUCUAAAAAGAGGUGUUAACCUUCUCGUUCAGAACGCUUCUCCUCCUCCCUCGAUUGAAGGAAAUAUCAUCAUCGAGGGUCGCCCCACAAAGCAGGCUAGGACUUUUACCCCUGCAAAGGUCGACAUCCCUCUACCACUGGUAAAGGAAAGAAGGCUAUGGAUGCCCCUAUCAAUUUGUCCUCUGCCUCAAAUAGCAGCGAUUUGGGUGCUUGCAAGAUCAAUACGGACUCCACUGCUGCCUCUGUAACCAAGCUGAUGUGUUACAAGGUUUUUGGUGGGGUGCUAGACAUUUCUGAUCCUCAUUUCUUAGGGAUUGUUUGCAAUUUAGCUCGUUGCACAAAGUAGCAGCUUGCUUGCAGCUCAAGCUACCUGGAGACCCUAGGUCAUAAUCUAUAGGAGAUGCUUCUCAUGUCCUUAGGAACUUUUAUGGAGAUCGAUGCUCGAAAUUGAUCUCUUUAAAGCUCCAUAGAUUACAACAUCGAGGAAGCAUGGUGAGACGAGAAUUUGGUUGCCAUUGUAGUGAAUUGGAAGCAUAUCAUUCAUUUUAAAGGGAAGGUCACUGAUAUCACCAGGCAGCUAGGCGAGCAGAGGGAAGAGGCCAUCCGGUUAUCUUAGCGGGCUUCUGUUGCCAAAAUCCAGUGAGAUGAGGCCCUCGCCCAAUUGUCCUCUCUAGAAGAGAUUCGUCAACAACGUGAUGAGGCACUAGCUCAUGUUAUUGUACGUCAGUAAGAUUUCAACAAGAAAAUUGAAGAGAUGAAGGGUUUGGCUCUCAAUGUGGAGACCUCCCAACUUCAGUAACAAAAACUUCAAGAGGUCAUUACUUUGGAGGGCAGAUGUGCUUCUUUGCUGGAAGACGCUAAGACUGCUAAGGAUAGAGUUAAUCAAGCCUAUGAAGAGCGGGUCCAAAAGUUCAAGAGUUCUGAUGAGCUGAAAGAGAAAAUUUAUGAGGAAGCUUUUUGCAUGUUUGCUAUGGGCUAUAACUAAGGCCUCAAAGUUGCUUGAGAUGCCCCUACUGUUCCCUUGGCUAAACUGCAAGCUCCUGAAUUCGAUUCUGAUGGUGAAGAAGUGCAGCUCAUGAAGGACGAUAAUCCCAUUCCAAAGGCUCCUCCUGCUCUGCCUCCUGCUGAGCCUUCAGCCGACCCUUCUAGGUCUCCUGUAAAUGACGACCGAGUUAAAUCUGCUCCUCCCUCCCCUACUACUUUUGUAACUAAUUCAGUUAAUGUAAUUAAGCCUUGAAAUUCUUAAUAUAAAGCUUCAAUUUUCUGUAUCA